AUUGAACGCUGGCGGUAUGCCUAACACAUGCAAGUCGAGCGAGCGGCGGACGGGUGAGUAAUGCAUGGGGACUGCCCGACAGAGGGGGAUAACUACUGGAAACGGUAGCUAAUACCGCAUCCUAUCGGAGAACCCAUAGGGGAUUAGCUAGUAGGUGGGGUAAUGGCUCACCUAGGCGACGAUCCCUAGCUGGUCUGAAGGGAUGAUCAGCCAAACGGGGACUUGGACACGGCCCGGACUCCUACGGAGGCGGCAGUGGGGAAUUUUGGACAAUGGGGGAAGCCCUGAUCCAGCCAUCCCGCGUGUAUGAUUAAGGCCUUCGGGUUGUAAGGUACUUUUGGCAGAGAGGCGGUAUCUGCAGAAUAAGCACCGGCUAACUACGUGCCAGCAGCCGCGGUAAUAC
rnacentral:rRNA from 1 species